UUUCUUUUCUUUUCUUUUCUUUUCUUUUCUUUUCUUUUCUUUUCUCUUUAUUUUAGAGGAGAGAGAGCAUGCGAGAAGGGGAAAGGAGCAGAUGGAGAGAGAGAGAAUCUUAAGCAGGCUUCAUGCUCAGUGUGGAGCCCAACAUGGGGCUCAGCCCUAUGACCCUAGGAUCAUUACCUGAGCCGAAAUCCAGAGUCAGACACUCAACAGACUGAGCCACCCAGGCACCCCUCCCCUAGAUUUCUGAACUACCUGCUCUCGGUUUCUUCUGUUAUCUCUCUACUCAUUUCUUCCCUACCAGCCUGAUGAUUUUUGCAUUCUCCUCCUUUAUCCCUUCCAAAUUCUCAGCUGACUAUAAGAGACUGCCCCUUUGAGCCACUCAUGGCCCCCCACCCUGUUGACACAAUAGAGCAUGAGCGUUGGAGUUGGACGUGCUCGAGUCCUGUCCCAGUGCUAAUGUUUACUUACUAGCGGUGUGGCCCAAGGCAGUGUUGUGCUGUUUCUGAGUUUUAAUGUAGUGCAGAGGUUAAGAGCAAGCCUUGAGUCAGACAUAAUCUGUGCUGGAAUCCUGGCUUUGUCCCUUUACCAGCUGUGAAGACUUGCUGCUUCUCCUUCCUGUCACUCAGAAUGCUGUCAGCCAGGCUUGUACUCCAUGUACAAGAUUGGAAGAGUCACGUGUGGAGAAUCUGACCAGCGCAAGAGAGAAGACAAACCUUCGGGGAUUCCGUCAUGCAAGGGCAUAGCCUGACCAUCCUAAAAUGAAGCUUCAGGUGAACACACGUAUGUCCACAGAGCUUCCCAUCAGCUUUGUAGUGUUCGGCCCUCC